rnacentral:rRNA from 1 species
UACGAAGGGGGCUAGCGUUGCUCGGAAUCACUGGGCGUAAAGGGUGCGUAGGCGGGUUUUUAAGUCAGGGGUGAAAUCCUGGAGCUCAACUCCAGAACUGCCUUUGAUACUGAAGAUCUUGAGUCCGGGAGAGGUGAGUGGAACUGCGAGUGUAGAGGUGAAAUUCGUAGAUAUUCGCAAGAACACCAGUGGCGAAGGCGGACUCACUGGCCCGAUACUGACGCUGAGGCACGAAAGCGUGGGGAG